rnacentral:lncRNA from 1 species
UAUGUGGCAGUUCCUCACUAGGGAAUUUGGUCUCCAGGGCCACUUUUGACCUUAAUCCAUGUUGGAGCCAUCAAUCAAAGAAUUGCUUGCAUCUAAUAAUGGUGUAAUGCCAAUACUAAGCCCUGGAACGAAGAUAGGAUUCAUUUCUCAUGGAUUAUUGAGCACUCUGGGGUAACCUGGCCCUGAUCUGAUGACGCUAAGAUUUAAAAACCCAGAUGCAUGUGACUAGAACUAUCUUUUCUCCCAUGAUGCACUGCUUUCAACACUGCAUGACUGUAAAAACAUGUGCCACGCUGAUUAUAUAUAGAGAUGGUCUAAAUCAGCUGCAUCCCAUUUGGUACCCAGGCAAGGAUUUUUCCAUACCUAUCUUUUUGCUGGUGGUAAUGAUGAGUUUUGUCACUUGCUAUAACAUUCUCUGUCCGUCUUUUUUCUUUUAUGUAAAUACUUUUGUGACUUCAUUGUAACCAGCAUUUUGUAAUACUCUUAACAGCAGAGGGGAUUAAAUCAUGAUUCACUUCUGAACAGUACAAUCAGCAGUAGGAAAACGAGGAGGGAGGGAGAGGGAAAUUGUCCACCACUUCCCAAUGAUAAUGCCUGGCUCGGACCCCAGAUUCACAUCAUACUUGAAGUUCAUAAAUUCUGGGCACUGCUCAGCUUGAGGAGGCAGGCAUUGCUCCUUCAUAUUUCAGGGUGAGACAAAUGCUCUGUUGAAGCCAUGCCACUACAGGAUACAUUCACCUCUGCUUGCUUUCCUCCCUAAGCCAGAGUGUAGUUAAACAUUUAUAUGUCCCAGGCCAGGAGAUCAAAUUAAGAGGAGGUUAGCUACUUUCCCUGGCUCUUAAAAACAUUUGAGUCCAAGUAUGGUUCUCUGGCUUGAGGGUGGCCAUUUGUUGCCUCACUGUUUUUAUUAGGACAUCUGGAGAUUAGAGGUGUUAAUUGGAAGUAACUUUUCUAUAUUUGGUUUCUCUCCACACAUUAUGAGACCUUUUAGACCCAGUUGGAUGGCUGUAUCCUAGUAUGAAAUUCAGCUUCUAAGUAGGAAGAACUAUGAUAGAGGAACAAGAUUGCUCUUUGACUUGGUGAUAGUAGGGCAAUAGGGAGUGUCAGUAGGGUAGUUUCAGGUGGGGAGGAUGACAAACCACUGAUAACAAUAAAAAUGGGUAUUUCUCAACACUCAAGCCAAUUUCCCAUUUGAUAACAAGUAGGUUCUGAUCUAUUUUCCCCAAAUUAAUAUUUUCCCUGGAAGAUUCUGACCUGUCUGAUCAAAUAAAGGCAUUCCUCUGAGAGUAUACCUAGCCCACUUGUGGCCAAAUUAUACUUGACUGUUAUGUACUCAAAACAAGCUUUCCUGUUAAUCUCUUUCUCUUACCUCUAUUAUGAGGACAAGACGUGGAAGAAUUAGGUCACCGGGGCAUCUGCCAUUGCAUAUGUUUAAGUGGUAUAAAGAAGCCAGGAUUCCUAGAAUGGUCUGUCUUUUGCCAUUUCUGGGACAAUGAGAAAAUCCAUCUGGAGUGUUUAUGCCCCUCUGAAUAGCCAAGUCAUGGGCUUGUUUGCUUUCAGUCACUGCCUUCAGAAAAAGACAAUUUUACAAUGACUUACUUCUAAUAAUCACUGAAACAGCCUCAUGAGGACAUGCAAAACUGCUGUCUAUCUUCAGACCUGGCCCAUUGUCAAAUGGCAGACUUGCAGAGCAAAUAAGGGACCUGGCCUAGUUCACAAGGCAGUCAGAAGUGAUCCAAAGUUCAGGCUCCCCCUCCCUUUUAUCACUCCACCCUGCCUCUACUCCUCCGCCUCCUAUUCUUCCGGCCUUUCCAUCUGGAAACCAUGAGCCUCAUGGAUUCCAGGCACAAAUUCUCAGAUUUCAGAUGUUUGGGAAAUUUCUCAGCUUGGGUCAUUCUUCAAGAGUAAGAAAUUGAAUUUGUGAGAAAAAAAAACAGCUGAGACUGUUUCACAGAAGAGAAAAUAAAUAAGGUGUGGUGCGUAUCCAUCCUCUUCCCAACUCAGCUCCAAAACCACACACAAUGUCUAACUUCAAAAAGAGUAUUUAGAUCCCCCCUGGGAAGGAACAGAAUGGAAAAACAAUCUCCACUCAUAAAAACACUUUUCUGCCUUCUACAGUAUAAACACAACUGGCAUCAGAUAAUACAAUGUAAUUGAUUUUAUGUGUGUAAUUGGGGAACAGAAGGGUCUCUAGAGGGUAGACCUAAGAGUAAUGGAAUGGAGUGAAAAGUAAAAUUUAGACUAAAUUGUUGGGAGGAAACUGUUAACAUUGUGAACCACUUGACCCUAGUGUUGCAUCUUCACAAAAAAGAGCAAUGUGCCGUCUUCUGUCUUUGGAAAAUGGGACAAGCUUGCUCCUGAUACUAGGUUUUAGAAGCAUACAGACUUGGUUUUAGUACUGGCUUUGUUCUUUACUAACUCUGAACAAUUAAAUGAGCAGAUGGUCUACAGGGCUUAGUACAGUGCCUGACACAUAGUAAGCACUUAGAAAUGGUAGCUUCUGACUGUUGUGCUGGAGUCCUGUUAGAGAUUCAGUAGAUGGAGCCACCUUCAUGUUGCCCCUCACUGAGCUGCUCUGCUCACCUCUAGAUGCUCCCCAUGGCUGUUUCAUAGCCCUCUGUACCACAUCCCCAUGUACUUUUUCAUAUCAACGGUAAGUACCUCAAAUUACCGUAUGUAUUUACUUGUUCAUAAGGUUGAUGUCUGUAACUCUUUGAAGGUUGUAUUAGUCGUUUGCUCCUAUAUUACUAAUGAUGACAAAGUCGCCUGACAGAGUAGAUGUUCAAAUUUAUGGACUUAAACUGACUGACAUCUUGAUAAUGCCCAUAUCCAGAGGUACUCCAGAUAUUAUAUCUUCAUGCAGAAAACUGAAAGAUACCUUUAGCUACAUCUACCCCAGAAUGAGUGUCCAAAGCAGGUGGCACCACCAAAAGGCACCUUCUUUUCCCAUGAAAAGAGGGAAGAGAGUUGAGAAGCCUCACUCCCAUCCCUGCUCUGCCACUGACAAGUUGUGUGGCAUUUGGCACAUCAUGUUCUCUCUCUACAUGCGCCUAAAAUGACGGGUAGGGUCAGAGACAUUGGAGGAUCUCUCUUUUCUCUUCCACCUCUAACACGGUAAGAUCUUAGCAAAGUAAAAAGGACAGUGAUAACAGAAAAAUUGUUCCUCUAAGAGUCCCAAGUCAUCUUUUUUCUCUCCGUGUGUGUUAGCAUUUGUGUGUGUCUGUGGGUGUGUAUGCAUGUGUGUGGAAGCUAUACAAGGAAAGCUGAAUCCAUAUGUAGACUUCAUGGAGACUAGUACUGCUCCAAAUGUGCACAAGCCAUGUGAUAUGGUUUGCCUCUGUGUCCCCACCCAAAUCUCAUGUUGAAAUGUAAUCCCCAAUGCUGGAGGUGGGACCUGGUGGGAAGAUUGGAUCAUGGGGGAGUUUUCUCAUGAUUUAACAACAUCCGCCCUUUGUUGUCAUGAUAGUGAGUUCUUGUGAGAUCUGGUUGUUUAAAAAUAUGUGACACCUCCCCCCACCUUCCUUCUGCUCUGGCCAUGUAAAGUGCUCACUCCCCCUUUGCCUUCCACCAUGAUUGUAAGUUUCCUGAAGCCUCCCUAGAAGCUGAGCAGAUGCCAGCAUCAUGCUUGCUGUGCAGCCUGCAGAACUGUGAGCCAAUUAAACCUCUUUAUGAAUUA